UGUAGAAUGUGUUUAGAAAUUUUAAAACUACACUGAAGAUCAUAUGCUUCAGUAUAGAGAGCAUUUACCCAAAAAUUAAAUAUUUUCGUAGUGGUUAACACAUAGAUUUUGAGAAAAAUUAAAAAAAUGAAAAUUCUAUUUUAAUGCAUAGUUGCAUCCUUCAUUAACAUAUGAUGAAGGUCAAAGAGGUUUGGAACCUUUGUUGUCACCGUUUUUCUAGAGAAUAGCGAUUUUAUAGUGGUUGGUCAACCAAUUUAGGGAGUAUUAUGAAGUUUUAAUAAAUUAAUUUACAAAACAUUUAAACUAUGCCCAUGUACCAUAAAAGAGAGUUUAAUAUACAUUAAUACAAAUGUAGGAUGUGUUUAGAAUUUUUAAACUACACUGAAGAUCAUAUGCUUCAGUAUAGAGAGCAUUUACCGAAAAAUUAAAUAUUUUCAUAGAGGUUAACACAUAGAUUUUGAGAAAAAUUAAAAAAUAAAAAUUCUAUUUUAAUGCAUAGUUGCAUCCUUCACUAACAUAUGAUGAAGGUUAAAGAGGUUUGGAACCUUUGUUGUCUCCGUUUUUCUAGGGAAUAGAAAUUUUAAAGUUGUUAGUCAACCAAAUUAGGGAGUUUUAUGAAGCUAUUUAAAUUAAUUGACAAAAAAAAUAAAAGAUGACCAUGUACAAUUAAAGAGAGUUUAAUAUACAUUAAUACAAAUGUAGAAUGUGUUUAAAAAUUUUAAAACUACAAUAAAAAUCAUAGGCUUCAGUAUAUAGAGCAUUUAUCGAAAAAUUAAAUAUAUUCGUAGGAGUCAUACCCAUAGAUUUUGA